rnacentral:rRNA from 1 species
GAUGAACGCUAGCGGCAGGCCUAAUACAUGCAAGUCGGACGGGAUUUGGGAGCUUGCUCCUAAUGAGAGUGGCGCACGGGUGCGUAACACGUAUGUAACCUACCUUUAUCAGGGGGAUAGCCUCUCGAAAGAGAGAUUAAGCCCGCAUAACAUCACGAUAUAGCAUUAUAAUGUGAUCAAAUAUUUAUAGGAUAAAGAUGGGCAUGCGGAACAUUAGCUAGUUGGUAAGGUAAUGGCUUACCAAGGCUACGAUGUUUAGGGGAUCUGAGAGGAUGACCCCCCACACUGGUACUGAGACACGGACCAGACUCCUACGGGAGGCAGCAGUAAGGAAUAUUGGUCAAUGGGCGGAAGCCUGAACCAGCCAUGCCGCGUGCAGGAAGACGGCCCUACGGGUUGUAAACUGCUUUUGCAGGGGAAUAAACCCUCGUAUGUAUACGAGGCUGAAUGUACUCUGAGAAUAAGGAUCGGCUAACUCCGUGCCAGCAGCCGCGGUAAUACGGAGGAUCCAAGCGUUAUCCGGAUUUAUUGGGUUUAAAGGGUGCGUAGGCGGCCUAUUAAGUCAGGGGUGAAAGACGGUAGCUUAACUAUCGCAGUGCCUUUGAUACUGAUGGGCUUGAAUGUACUUGAGGUAGGCGGAAUGUGACAAGUAGCGGUGAAAUGCAUAGAUAUGUCACAGAACACCAAUUGCGAAGGCAGCUUACUAAAGUAUGAUUGACGCUGAGGCACGAAAGCGUGGGGAUCAAACAGGAUUAGAUACCCUGGUAGUCCNCGCCCUAAACGAUGAAUACUCGAUGUUGGCGAUAUACAGUCAGCGUCAAAGCGAAAGCGUUAAGUAUUCCACCUGGGGAGUACGCCCGCAAGGGUG